rnacentral:misc_RNA from 1 species
AAAAUGCGAUAAGUAAUGUGAAUUGCAGAAUUCAGUGAAUCAUCGAAUCUUUGAACGCACAUUGCGCCCGCCAGUAUUCUGGCGGGCAUGCCUGUUCGAGCGUCAUUUCAACCAUCAAGCCCCGGCUUGUGUUGGGGACCUGCGGCUGCCCGCAGGCCCUGAAAAACAGUGGCGGGCUCGCUGUCACACCGAGCGUAGUAGCAUACAUUCUCGCUCAGGGCGUGCUGCGGGUUCCGGCCGUUAAACGACCUUCAUAACCCAAGGUUGACCUCGGAUCAGGUAGGAAGACCCGCUGAACUUAAGC